rnacentral:rRNA from 1 species
CUACGGGACGCUCCAGUGAGGAAUAUUGCACAAUGGGGGGAACCCUGAUGCAGCAACGCCGCGUGGAGGAUGACGCAUUUCGGUGUGUAAACUCCUUUUAUAUGUCAAGAAAAUGACGGUAGCAUAUGAAUAAGCACCGGCUAACUCCGUGCCAGCAGCCGCGGUAAUACGGAGGGUGCAAGCGUUACUCGGAAUCACUGGGCGUAAAGUACGCGUAGGCGGGUUGGAAAGUCAGGUGUGAAAUCCUACAGCUUAACUGUAGAACUGCACUUGAAACUUCUAAUCUAGAGUAUGGGAGGGGGAGAUGGAAUUAGUGGUGUAGGGGUAAUAUCCGUAGAUAUCACUAGGAAUACCUAAAGCGAAGGCGAUCUCCUGGAACAUUACUGACGCUAAGGCGUGAAAGCGUGGGGAGCAAACAGGAUUAGAUACCCGGGUAGUC